rnacentral:rRNA from 1 species
UGCAAGUCGAACGCUAAUUAGCCUGCAGCAAUGUAGGCUAGUUGGAGUGGCGCAAGGGUGCGUAACACGUGGGUAAUUUGCCGUGAAGUUGGGGAUAACUCGCUGAAAGGCGAGCUAGUACCGGAUGUGAUUUUUGGGAGGCAUCUUCUGGAAAUCAAAGUUGGGGACCGCAAGGCCUGACGCUUCAUGAUAAGCCCGCGGCCUAUCAGCUAGUUGGUGAGGUAACGGCUCACCAAGGCUAUGACGGGUAGCUGGUCUGAGAGGACGACCAGCCACACUGGAACUGAGACACGGUCCAGACACCUACGGGUGGCAGCAGUCGAGAAUUUUUCUCAAUGGGCGAAAGCCUGAAGGAGCGACGCCGCGUGAGGGAUGAAGGACUUCGGUCCGUAAACCUCUGUCAUUUGCGAACAAACCUUAUCCGUGAACAACGGAUAGGCUGAUUGUAGCGAAAGAGGAAGGGACGGCUAACUCUGUGCCAGCAGCCGCGGUAAUACAGAGGUCCCAAGCGUUGUUCGGAUUCACUGGGCGUAAAGGGUGCGUAGGUGGCUGGGUAAGUUUGAUGUGAAAUCUCCGGGCUCAACCCGGAAAAUGCAUUGAAUACUAUCCAGCUAGAGGUUUGGAGGGGGGACUGGAAUUCUUGGUGUAGCAGUGAAAUGCGUAGAUAUCAAGAGGAACACCAGUGGCGAAGGCGAGUCCCUGGACAAAUCCUGACACUGAGGCACGAAAGCUAGGGGAGCAAACAGGAUUAGAUACCCUGGUAGUCCUAGCCCUAAACGGUGCGCAUUUGCUGUAAGAGGAAUCG